AAAUUCCAGAAGAUGUCAUUUUUACUUGAGGGGAAAUUUCCCUCCUUUAUCCACCAAGAGGCAGUGGGUGUGCCCAGCAGGUGGAAUUCAUUAUGAAGAUGAGCAUCCUUGCCAGUGGGACUGGUGACCUGGCAUUCAACCACUCUCCCAGGGAAAGAAUCUAAACAUGGCAUGAGAUUUCAUCUGAGUGGUUCCAAGACAGUUUUGGAUUUGGAGGUGUGAGUAGAGUUCAAACCAGUACAAAUAUUGUGGGAAAAAGGCAAAGAACAGGGAAGGGGUGGCAAGAUAACCUAUAUGCUGUGGGGUGCUAACACAUGUUUAAUAACUGGCUCUUGGAGUUGGAAAGAGAACUCUGAUUUGCAGCGUUUGUGGAUUUCUGUGGUGUAAAGAUUCCCAAUAUGGGUAAUUGCAAGUUAACAACAGGAAGUCACUCAGCUCACAAAAUUCUUGAAUAUUAAACAAUCAGCCUUUCCUAGCUGGUAUGCGCUGGCUCUAGCACACCACUGCCUGCGUGGAUCAGGAAGUGGGUCUUAAGGUUGAGAGUGGGAGUGAUGGGGGCUUUUCGGGGGAAGUAUAAAGUCGGAAUCAUUUUCCCAGUGAUUUAGAGUACCGUGUGUUUCUUUGUUCAUAGUACUUAGGAUACUUGUUCAAGUAUUCUGAUACUUGUCUGCUUGCCCUCCUAGACUCCAUGGCAGAACUGCAUCUCUCUGGGUCACCGAUGUGUCCUAGCAUCUACCACAGUGCCUAGAACAUAGUAAAGCAGUUUUGAUUGGUCCAAAGAUCUGUAGAAUGCUACAUUUACUAGUAAAGUACCUACUAUGUGCUAGGCACUGUAGUUUUCCCUUGACAGGAAAAAAUCCAAUUCCAUCUUCAUAGCAGGCUUCUCAAAGUAUGACAGGGGACGUGAAGGCCAUUACAAGGGAAAGUGAGGGUCAGCUGUAGUCGUGAGAUUCCUACCAGCCCCAGUCAGAGGAGCUUUGGCAGCAGUUGGAAGAAACACAGCAGAGGAACAUCAGUUGCCACGACCACUGGAAAACACAAGUCUAUGUCUGUAUGUUCCUGGAGAAUGUCACUGUUGCUGGGGCAUCCCAAGCACUGAUGUGGACAGAUGCUAUCUGUUGGUAAAAUGAUUUCCUUAUGGCUCUUCAGUAGCCUAGACCCUGCAUUUUGUCUUAUCCCAUGGCCAUGUGCAGGUCAAAUGAGGCUGGGAACAUCUGUUCUGAGGCAGUAUUUUUUUUUUUAAGAUAAAAGUCAUCAGGGAUGAUUAAAACUUCAGAAUGAAAGGAGGUGAUUUCUGAAGAAUGUUCUCUUUGUCAUCUUUUCCUCCCGCUUCUUCCUCUUCAUCUUCUCCACUCAUAGUUUUGCACAGAGCUAAUGACUAAGUUAUGAAAAUAAAAGUCUUGCUGGCUACAAG
rnacentral:lncRNA from 1 species